UCAUAUGCUUGUCUCAAAGAUUAAGCCAUGCAUGUCUAAGUACAAGCCAAAUUAAGGUGAAACCGCGAAAGGCUCAUUAAAUCAGUUAUGGUUCCUUAGAUCGUACCACACAUUUACUUGGAUAACUGUGGUAAUUCUAGAGCUAAUACAUGCAAACAGAGCUCUGACCAGAGAUGGAAGGAGUGCUUUUAUUAGAUCAAAACCAAACGGCAGCAGUCUAUACUCUUUAUGGGUUGGAUUGUGUUUGUCGAUUUUAUGAUUGGUGACUCUGAAUAACUUUAUGCUGAUCGCAUGGUCUUGUACCGGCGACGCAUCUUUCAAAUGUCUGCCUUAUCAACUGUCGAUGGUAAGAUCUGCGCUUACCAUGGUUGUAACGGGUAACGGGGAAUCAGGGUUCGAUUCCGGAGAGGGAGCCUGAGAAACGGCUACCACAUCCAAGGAAGGCAGCAGGCGCGCAAAUUACCCACUCCCGGCACGGGGAGGUAGUGACGAAAAAUAACGAUACGGGACUCAUCCGAGGCCCCGUAAUCGGAAUGAGUACACUUUAAAUCCUUUAACAAGGACCAAUUGGAGGGCAAGUCUGGUGCCAGCAGCCGCGGUAAUUCCAGCUCCAAUAGCGUAUAUUAAAGUUGUUGCGGUUAAAAAGCUCGUAGUUGAAUCUGUGUCCCGUGCUGUCGGUUCACUGCUCGUCAGUGAUCACUGGCAUGUUCACGGGACGUCCUGCCGGUGGAUGUGUGUGUUUGAUACAAGAGUCUCUAUUAUGUCUAGCUAUAUUACACACUUAUGCAUGUGCUCUUUUUCAUUUAUAUGCGCGUACAUUCUUUACGGGGUGUGUGUGUGUAUUUUAUGUUUAAAGGCAGUGCGUAUAGUUCAGUGUAUAUGGGCGGUAGUAGGUAAGGCGUGUAUUCAAUCACCGUCCUAGUAAUAUAUCCUGUCGCAGUGCUCUUAAUUGAGUGUUGAGGCGGGCCGGCACGUUUACUUUGAACAAAUUAGAGUGCUCAAAGCAGGCUCAUUUAUGCCUGAAUAUUGUGUGCAUGGAAUAAUGGAACAGGACCUCGGUUCUAUUUUGUUGGUUUUCGGAAUAAUCCGAGGUAAUGAUUAAUAGGGACAGAUGGGGGCAUUCGUAUUGCAACGUUAGAGGUGAAAUUCUUGGAUCGUUGCAAGACGGACUAAAGCGAAAGCAUUUGCCAAAGAUGUUUUCAUUAAUCAAGAACGAAAGUCAGAGGUUCGAAGGCGAUCAGAUACCGCCCUAGUUCUGACCAUAAACGAUGCCAGCUAGCGAUCCGCCGACGUUCCUCCGAUGACUCGGCGGGCAGCUUCCGGGAAACCAAAGCUUUUGGGUUCCGGGGGAAGUAUGGUUGCAAAGCUGAAACUUAAAGGAAUUGACGGAAGGGCACCACCAGGAGUGGAGCCUGCGGCUUAAUUUGACUCAACACGGGAAACCUCACCAGGCCCAGACACUGGAAGGAUUGACAGAUUGAGAGCUCUUUCUUGAUUCAGUGGGUGGUGGUGCAUGGCCGUUCUUAGUUGGUGGAGCGAUUUGUCUGGUUAAUUCCGAUAACGAACGAGACUCUAGCCUGCUAAAUAGGCGUAACCAAAUACCGGUAUCUUGAAGGCUCCGACACUUAUUUCGUGAUGUUCAUUCCCUGUAUGACAUUAUUUUAUACUUUGUGUUGAGAUCGUUACUAUUUGUUUUUACUCUUCGAGUUUGAACAGAUGUGUGCGGUUUUUCGCAUUGUGUAGGUGUGUUGUGUAUGGGGGUGGCUCUGGAAUGAUGUUGUUGGGUUUUUACUACCGGCGUAUAUAUACAAUCUUCUUAGAGGGACAGGCGGCUUCUAGCCGCACGAGAUUGAGCAAUAACAGGUCUGUGAUGCCCUUAGAUGUUCUGGGCCGCACGCGCGCUACACUGAAGGAAUCAGCGUGUCUUCCCUGGCCGAAAGGUCCGGGUAACCCGCUGAACCUCCUUCGUGCUAGGGAUUGGGGCUUGCAAUUAUUCCCCAUGAACGAGGAAUUCCCAGUAAGCGCGAGUCAUAAGCUCGCGUUGAUUACGUCCCUGCCCUUUGUACACACCGCCCGUCGCUACUACCGAUUGAAUGAUUUAGUGAGGUCUUCAGACUGGUACUCGGUGAUGUUUCGUACAUUACCGAUGUCGCUAGGAAGAUGACCAAACUUGAUUAUUUAGAGAAGUAA
rnacentral:rRNA from 1 species